GGGCCCGCACAAGCGGUGGAGUAUGUGGUUUAAUUCGAAGCAACGCGCAGAACCUUACCAACCCUUGACAUCCUGAUCGCGGUUACGAGAGAUCGUUUCCUUCAGUUCGGCUGGAUCAGUGACAGGUGCUGCAUGGCUGUCGUCAGCUCGUGUCGUGAGAUGUUCGGUUAAGUCCGGCAACGAGCGCAACCCACGUCCUUAGUUGCCAGCAGUUCGGCUGGGCACUCUAGGGAAACUGCCGGUGAUAAGCCGGAGGAAGGUGUGGAUGACGUCAAGUCCUCAUGGCCCUUACGGGUUGGGCUACACACGUGCUACAAUGGCAGUGACAAUGGGUUAAUCCCAAAAAGCUGUCUCAGUUCGGAUUGUCGUCUGCAACUCGACGGCAUGAAGUCGGAAUCGCUAGUAAUCG
rnacentral:rRNA from 1 species